UGAGGAAUAUUGGUCAAUGGGCGAGAGCCUGAACCAGCCAAGUCGCGUGAAGGAUGACUGCCCUAUGGGUUGUAAACUUCUUUUAUACAGGAAUAAAAAGUGCCACGUGUGGUAUAUUGCAUGUACUGUAUGAAUAAGCAUCGGCUAACUCCGUGCCAGCAGCCGCGGUAAUACGGAGGAUCCGAGCGUUAUCCGGAUUUAUUGGGUUUAAAGGGUGCGCAGGCGGGUUUUUAAGUCAGUGGUGAAAUCUAGGGGCUCAACCUCUAAACUGCCAUUGAAACUGGGGACCUUGAGUAUGGAUGAAGUAGGCGGAACUCGUUGUGUAGCGGUGAGAUGCAUAGAUAUAACGAAGAACCCCGAUUGCGUAGGCAGCUUACUAAACCAUAACUGACGCUCAAGCACGAAAGCGUGGGUAUCAAACAGGAUUAGAUACCCUGGUAGUCCACGCCGUAAACUAUGAUUACUAGUUGUAUGCGAUAUGAUAGUAUGUGACUAAGCGAAAGCGAUAAGUAAUCCACCUGGGGAGUAC
rnacentral:rRNA from 1 species